rnacentral:rRNA from 1 species
GAUGAACGCUAGCUACAGGCUUAACACAUGCAAGUCGAGGGGAAACGACAUCGAAAGCUUGCUUUUGAUGGGCGUCGACCGGCGCACGGGUGAGUAACGCGUAUCCAACCUGCCCACCACUUGGGGAUAACCUUGCGAAAGUAAGACUAAUACCCAAUGAUAUCCCACGAAGACAUCUGAAUGGGAUUAAAGAUUUAUCGGUGAUGGAUGGGGAUGCGUCUGAUUAGCUUGUUGGCGGGGUAACGGCCCACCAAGGCAACGAUCAGUAGGGGUUCUGAGAGGAAGGUCCCCCACAUUGGAACUGAGACACGGUCCAAACACCUACGGGAGGCAGCAGUGAGGAAUAUUGGUCAAUGGGCGAGAGCCUGAACCAGCCAAGUAGCGUGCAGGAAGACGGCCCUAUGGGUUGUAAACUGCUUUUAUAAGGGAAUAAAGUGGGUCACGUGUGACUUUUUGCAUGUACCUUAUGAAUAAGAACCGGCUAAUUCCGUG